UGACUUGGAGCGGGUGAGGGGUGUGUGGGGUGUGCCAAUGACACCUGGGCAGGAGUGUGACAACAUUUGCAUUACAGUAUCAGGGGGAGUGGUUAACAAUUCCUGCUCCACCCAAAAGACCAAUCACUUCCCAAAUAGCUGGUCAGAAAUGAAUAUAUUCUGGGCUCCUCACCGACAUUUCACAGGAGUUUUUAGGAACCUGUCAUGAUCUCCCCCUCCUUCUCUAUUCCUGCCUGCUCUCCUGCACCUCCCUCCUCCUGCCGGCCACUCCCUCCUCAUCAGCUCAACUCUACUCACCUGUUCACCGCAGCUGCAGCAGAGCACUCAUCAGUCCGGUAUAUAUACUUCUCUCCACCAUGCACUCAUCGCCAGAUUGUUCUAUGUCAUCCGUACUAGUCUCUCCAGCAUUUCCACGGACGGUUUCCCCGGUAUCGACCCCGCCUGCCCCCGACCUGUCUGCUCUGUCUCUGCCCCGGUGUUCGACCCAGCCUACCGCCCCCGACAACGGACUCUGCCUGCUCCCCUGCCUGUGUUACCGUCACCUGCCGGCUCCCACGGCGUGUCCUCCCCGGGCACUCCGUUCUCUCCCACGAACCAAGUUUGUUCCACGGUGUUUGCCUUGAACUCUCCGCCUGCCUAAGUGUGCUGCAUUUGGGUCCCCUUCCGACCCAUUGCAGAACCUGGAGGUGCUUCCCCUUGCAACAACAUAUUUUCUGCAAGAUGAGAAAAGUCAAGUCAUCUGUCCAUCUUCUGCAUCGUAAACAAGAAGUAACAUUCAUCAGGAGAUUGACACUCCAAGAGAAAGCAUCCUGCAAAGUGUGGAUUGUUGGAGAUAGCUAUGUACGACGUGGUGAAAGGAGAGCAAGGGAGACCAAUCUUGGAAUGUCUGCACAUGUCCAGUGGUUUGGCAAGGGAGCCCAGUGUUGGAAUGACCUACUACCCCAUUUCCGCCAAUGCCUUGAAGGAAGAACUGCUCCGGAAGUGCUUGUGAUCCACUGUGGGGGCAAUGAUCUUGGACAUUUCAAAAGCGUGCUGCUUCUUAAGGCAAUGAAGAGAGACCAGCAUGACCUCCACCAGCAGUUUCCAGAAAUGAAGAUACUGCUGUCAUCAUCAAUCAGAGGCUCCGUUGGAGGUAGACACCGACUCCCAGCAAAGAUGGACAAAGCAAGAAAGUUCAUCGACAGUGUGAUGGCAACCUUUAUUUUGUCUGUUAAUGGGAGGACUCUACACCAUCCACAAAUUGUGUUUGAUCAUCCUCAGCUCUUCCUUCGUGACAAGGUUCAUUUAACUCCUUGGGGAAAUGAUCUAUUUUUACAUGUGAUAGCCCAGGGCUUGAAAGACUCUGUCCUCUAAAGUUGGUGCUACCAUGAUCUGUAAAGUUGGUGCAACCAGACUAAUGUAAUCACUGACACUGAUGGUGAUGUCCCUUUUGAGCAUUUUAAAACUACAAUAAAUGUUCAUAAAAACAA